CCAGCUUCCCAACAAAGAGGAAAACGUGGCUCUGGAGAUGGUCGCUUUUCUCUGCAAGGCUUCCUCAGACCGAGGGAAGCCGUGACCUUCUGCAGUCUGAGCACGUUAGCGGAUAGGCCUGUAGGGGAACGUCAUGCCCGGUUAAUAAGACAGGAAACCCCAGGCUGGGUGCAGCUUUCCACAGCAUAGGCACCAUCAGGCUUUUGCAAGGGGAGAUUCUACCUCUGAGCAUGUUCAGCUACUACUAAGAAAAGAUCAGAGGUUUGCUAAGGGUAAGAGGUGAGAAAGAAAGAACAGGUUGGGUAAAAACAUCUCUAUAAUGGAACUCUCCUUGAGUUAAGCAUCCAGCCUGCAAGAGAAAAACAACCAUCGCCCUUAACCUGAUACUAAGCUGUGUCUGAACAAAGGCCAGCUUCCAGACAGCAAGUACAAAGUUUUAAAGGAGGUUUUGUCUCAGCAGCUCUCAAGUAUGUGUCUCAGGUACUUGAGACACAGGUACAGGGAGGACUCUUACUUGUUGUGUGGUAGCCUGGAGCACACGGUUCUCAAGUCAUCUGAAAGAGAAGAGAUGACACAUCAAUAAGGGUCAAGCAGAAAUGAAAGCAACUUUCUUUCUAAGGUCAGGUUACUGGAAAAGCUCCAGUGACCCACAGAUCCACAAUCCCAUUCUCAGAACAGUAAGAUAUUUGUAAGAGAGCAAAUGUUUCUCUAUUUAUUCGGUUCUUAGCUCAGCUUUUUGUGCUUCAAACUUCAUUCUGUGUUCUACUUUGAACCUACACUAUCACACAGGAAACGACUUCACCUGAAGACAGCCCAAGCCUUAGCACAGCACACACAGCAGGCCUGACACAGCUAUGCCCAGCUCCUGCCACCAGGAACGCUACACUGCAGCCAAGGGAGACAGCAGAUCCCAGCUCACUGUGCUUGCAGCCACCCCUGCCUCUACCGUAGGAAAUAUAAGAUGCUGCAGACCUCUCAGGAUAACAGAAGAGCUCAAGCAUUUGAAAACAGUUCAGGCAAGAUGAUCUUCAGAUGUACAGUGCCAAGAACUGGGACUCAGUUGGCCACCAGGAAAAAAAAUCUGAAUCAUCUGGCCACAGGAACACAUCUAUCAAUAAGUAACUAAGACAGCUAAUACAAGGCGUGACUGCUCCGUGAAUACAGUGCUCAUGAUGACAAAGGCACUGAGUCAAAGGGCAGGAAAAGAACUGGUCUUAGAAACAGGAAAGACAGACAAAAGCCACACUAACAGGCUUCUUCAAUAACUGCAACUUAAAAUGCACAGACUGUAGUACAGUCUCACUGAAGGAGAACUGAAGGCCCUGAAGUUCCAGAUAAACAGUCUUAAUUUGCUUUUCUCAUCCCUGGUUUAGCAUAUGAACCUCAUGACAAGCUACUUCACAGUCUCUCCUUCAGCAAGUAAACUCAGAGAAGACAAACUGAAAAACAAUUAAAGAGUGCUUCUUAACUAGCUACAAGUAAUCCCUGGCCCCAGACUGCAUGGGAAGUACACAGCUUUCCUGGAAAGCAAUUAUACAGUCAAGAUCAAGUUCUGCCCACGCUCUCAGCUAAAGCAAGCUACACAUUCACAGAUGCAGAGCCAAUACUGUGCCUCAUCCCCCUGGUGAAGGAGCAACCUUUGACAUUCAGCUUCAUGCUCAUCGGCACUGCACAGCUUCCCAUCAGUUUAGGAUUUCGGAUCAAGCUUAUGCUGCUCUGCCAAACCUCUUUAUUUAAACUGCAGAAGUUUUAGUGAUUCAUAAGGUUACCACCAUAAGAAAUGGUUUCAACACUUUCUUCCUACUGUAAACACCAUGAUGUACAUGCAACUCUGUGAGCUAGUUAGAAGGCAGCCCACACUGUUCUCAUGAGAAACGCAGGAGGAACUACAGGCUGGAGUCUCUGCUGGAGAAUUGGGCCAAGCAAGACAACUCUGAGCUCCCUCUGGCUCCUGAGCAUCACUUUCUGCAUUUCACAGCAAGUUCACAAAGCUGGUGGAAAAAUAAAUUAAGUGUGCCAACUGGGACAAGUGCAGUGGUUUCACGUGACACGUCUGCUCUCCACUCUCAAAAGCUGGUCCCAGAAUUGUUUUUCAAAGCAGGGAGAGUUCAGAGUGGGAUCAAUACCUUAGCAAAGAGCCUCGGCAGUAUAAGGUCACGUCCCUCUCGUGACAUCCACACACUGGAGGAAAAGAAUCCAAGGCCAGGCUCUUUGGCAGCCCUACUGACCUUCCCCCAAGUCAACCCCACCUACCUCGGGUGCAGAGGAGCGCUCCUGAUGCCAUGGCCACCUGCAAGGCCUGAGCCAGUCUGUCCAGAGCCAGUUCAAUCUCUUUGGAUGCAUUGAGAGGAUUGAGUUCAUCAGACAGUCUGUUAAUUUCUUCCACAAGUGGAACCACGUGAUCAAAGGGUAUUAGCCCCAGGCGCCCAUAAAGGUUCUUCUCCGUUAAGUGUCCCUGAAGCAUCAUAAGAACCUGCAGGACACUUAGAUGCAGCUUUGAAUACAGUUGAUGGCAAUCUCCAUCAUCUCCUUCAGUCGAGUCCUUGGCAAUCUUGCUGGUGGGGUGGCCAUUGGAGAGCGAGGCUUUCUUCCUCCUUUUGUAAGCCAAGGGGGCCUUCACGCACCAACGGAUCAGCCCCGUCAGCGGGGUGAGCUCUAAAAACCCUAUGGGCAGGUUGGCUGCAAUAGGAGUGUUCAGAAAGGUGAUGAGGAUCAAGCGGGGGUCUUCGAAGAUCCAGGAAACAAUCAACUCGAGCAGAUCUGAAGGAGGGAUGAGGUCAUCUGAAGCCAGGGAAGACAUCGCACAGUGAGCAGGACAGGACAGCACUCCAACCUCUCCCACACAUACACACUUUCUGCACUGUCACAACUGCCAUUUCAGAACCCCCCCAAGUCUGCCAUUCUUUCAAGAAACAAUUUUGCCCCUGGGUGACACAACCAUACUCCUGUUAAGGUCAGCUUUUGUUCUGAAGGCACCACAUCAACGUUUAACCCUUUCUACAGCAAAGCUUUUUUUGUUAUUUUCUAUCCAGGCAUGCUGCUGUUUGUGUAAGCAAAUCCUGUCCUCAGAACACGGUGAAGAUCUCAUUGAAAAACAAGCUUUCCUUCCUUGUAACAUCAGCAACAUCUCAAAUCAAGACAUAAAACAACAAUAACAGUAAAUAAGUGCUUCCUACAGCUCA